UACGGAGGGUGCAAGCGUUAUCCGGAUUCACUGGGUUUAAAGGGUGCGUAGGCGGGUAAGUAAGUCCGUGGUGAAAUCUCUGAGCUUAACUCAGAAACUGCCGUGGAUACUAUUUGCCUUGAAUAUUGUGGAGGUGAGCGGAAUAUGUCAUGUAGCGGUGAAAUGCUUAGAUAUGACAUAGAACACCAAUUGCGAAGGCAGCUCACUACACAAUCAUUGACGCUGAGGCACGAAAGCGUGGGAUCAAACAGG
rnacentral:rRNA from 1 species